UUUUGACCUCGGAUCAGGUAGGGAUACCCGCUGAACUUAAGCAUAUCAAUAAGGC
rnacentral:rRNA from 1 species